rnacentral:lncRNA from 1 species
CUGAGUGGUAAGGUAAUUUCUUUGAAAAAGUAGGAGAACAUUGUAUAUGACUUUGAAUUCCAAAGUUAACAGAGCUACUGACAACUUUUUAAACCUACAGAAUGAAUAUAGGAAACUUAUGACUUAACAGCUUUGGGAGUGUUUGUAAUACAGUUAAGGACUAAAAUUAGGGAGUCCAGUUAGAUAAUUAUAAAAAGAUUAGAAUAACUUUAUAGAUUGCAGUUACAUUAAAGCUUCAAAUUGUUUAUCUCACCCUUAACAAGAAUACCUAUUGUGUAGGUAUGCCAUGAUCCACUUAAUCACUGCUUUUUUUUUCAGUGGACAUUUGGGUUAUUUUUGUUUUUCAUUGUUAUAGCAAGUGAUCAUCCUGUAAAUAAUGUCUUUGUGCUCAAGUGCUAGUUUUCCUGCAAGAAAUAGACUACUAUGUGGAGGUUGUGGAGUAAGUCCUUUCAGAUUUUAAAUUCUGACAUGUUGCUUUUCAGAAAGUUCUCCAGUGCUCUUUUUAAUUUUUGUCAAUCAGUGGUUAAAAAUUUCUUUGUUUUUGUUUGCAUGUCUGCAAGUACAAAUGAAGCAGCAUUGUUGCAUGUUUUUAUUUUGAUUGGCUUUGUAUUCCAUGUAUUUCUUGUUUUCUAUUCUUUGCUCAGUUUUCUGCUUUAAUUACUUAUCUUUUAUCAUUAUUUUUAUCUGGGCUAUGAACUUAGCCACACCUUAUGAUAUUUUAUUUCCUAUAAAAAGGUACAAUUUUUGGCCAGUAUAUAUGCUAAAAGUGAGUUUACUCUUUUCUUGGGGCCUCUAUAUAUUCUGGUAUAAAUCACUUGUUUGUUAAAUAUGUAGAUGAUAUCUUCUGCUAGUGAGUUAUAGCUAAGCAUUCUUUAAAAUACUAUCUUCUGACAUAUAAUAUAGAAGUUUUUCAUUUUAGUGUCUGGGUUUUACGGUCACUACAAGAUUUUGAAAACAUUUUCCUAUUUUCUUCUAAUACUUACACUCUACUUUUUUUUUUACAUUAAAUUAUUUAACCCACUUUGAGACUUUUUUUGUAUAUUGCAUGUGAUUGUGGUUUGAAAUGCCACAUCAUGAACUAAAUAUCUUUAUAUAUAUGGGUCUGUUUUGGAUUAUUGCAUUGAUCUCUGCCUGUACCAGCAUCUAACUCACUAUACCUAUACAAUGUGUUUUUAUGUUUGGUCUAAAAAAAUUUACCCGAGUCUUAAUUUAAAAAUAUCUUGAUGGGGCUAGGGUUGUGGCUCAGUGGCAGAGCGCUUGCCUCUCACAUGUGAGGCACUGGAUCUGAUCCUCAGCACCACAUAAAAAUAAAUAAAGAUAUAAAAAUAUCUUGAUGAUUUUUGGCUAUUGUUUUAUCAGAGAAAUUAGCUUGUUAACUUCCAUUCUUAAAGAUUCUGUUGGUAUCUUGAGGAAAU